rnacentral:rRNA from 1 species
CAUAGGUUAAUGAGGCGAACCGGGGGAACUGAAACAUCUAAGUACCCCGAGGAAAAGAAAUCAACCGAGAUUCCCCCAGUAGCGGCGAGCGAACGGGGAGCAGCCCAGAGCCUGAAUCAGUGUGUGUGUUAGUGGAAGCGUCUGGAAAGGCGCGCGAUACAGGGUGACAGCCCCGUACACAAAAAUGCACAUGCUGUGAGCUCGAUGAGUAGGGCGGGACACGUGGUAUCCUGUCUGAAUAUGGGGGGACCAUCCUCCAAGGCUAAAUACUCCUGACUGACCGAUAGUGAACCAGUACCGUGAGGGAAAGGCGAAAAGAACCCCGGCGAGGGGAGUGAAAAAGAACCUGAAACCGUGUACGUACAAGCAGUGGGAGCACGCUUAGGCGUGUGACUGCGUACCUUUUGUAUAAUGGGUCAGCGACUUAUAUUCUGUAGCAAGGUUAACCGAAUAGGGGAGCCGAAGGGAAACCGAGUCUUAACUGGGCGUUAAGUUGCAGGGUAUAGACCCGAAACCCGGUGAUCUAGCCAUGGGCAGGUUGAAGGUUGGGUAACACUAACUGGAGGACCGAACCGACUAAUGUUGAAAAAUUAGCGGAUGACUUGUGGCUGGGGGUGAAAGGCCAAUCAAACCGGGAGAUAGCUGGUUCUCCCCGAAAGCUAUUUAGGUAGCGCCUCGUGAACUCAUCUCCGGGGGUAGAGCACUGUUUCGGCAAGGGGGUCAUCCCGACUUACCAACCCGAUGCAAACUGCGAAUACCGGAGAAUGUUAUCACGGGAGACACACGGCGGGUGCUAACGUCCGUCGUGAAGAGGGAAACAACCCAGACCGCCAGCUAAGGUCCCAAAGUCAUGGUUAAGUGGGAAACGAUGUGGGAAGGCCCAGACAGCCAGGAUGUUGGCUUAGAAGCAGCCAUCAUUUAAAGAAAGCGUAAUAGCUCACUGGUCGAGUCGGCCUGCGCGGAAGAUGUAACGGGGCUAAACCAUGCACCGAAGCUGCGGCAGCGACGCUUAUGCGUUGUUGGGUAGGGGAGCGUUCUGUAAGCCUGUGAAGGUGUGCUGUGAGGCAUGCUGGAGGUAUCAGAAGUGCGAAUGCUGACAUAAGUAACGAUAAAGCGGGUGAAAAGCCCGCUCGCCGGAAGACCAAGGGUUCCUGUCCAACGUUAAUCGGGGCAGGGUGAGUCGACCCCUAAGGCGAGGCCGAAAGGCGUAGUCGAUGGGAAACAGGUUAAUAUUCCUGUACUUGGUGUUACUGCGAAGGGGGGACGGAGAAGGCUAUGUUGGCCGGGCGACGGUUGUCCCGGUUUAAGCGUGUAGGCUGGUUUUCCAGGCAAAUCCGGAAAAUCAAGGCUGAGGCGUGAUGACGAGGCACUACGGUGCUGAAGCAACAAAUGCCCUGCUUCCAGGAAAAGCCUCUAAGCAUCAGGUAACAUCAAAUCGUACCCCAAACCGACACAGGUGGUCAGGUAGAGAAUACCAAGGCGCUUGAGAGAACUCGGGUGAAGGAACUAGGCAAAAUGGUGCCGUAACUUCGGGAGAAGGCACGCUGAUAUGUAGGUGAAGCGACUUGCUCGUGGAGCUGAAAUCAGUCGAAGAUACCAGCUGGCUGCAACUGUUUAUUAAAAACACAGCACUGUGCAAACACGAAAGUGGACGUAUACGGUGUGACGCCUGCCCGGUGC